rnacentral:rRNA from 1 species
UACGAACUGUGCGAACGUUUAUCCGGAUUCAUUGGGUUUAAAGGGAGCGUAGGCGGCCUUGUAAGUCAGUGGUGAAAUCUCUCGGCUUAACCGAGAAAUUGCCAUUGAUACUGCAGGGCUUGAGUACAGUUGCCGUUGGCGGAAUAUGACAUGUAGUGGUGAAAUACAUAGAGAUGUCAUAGAACACCGAUUGCGAAGGCAGCUAACGAAACUGUAACUGACGCUGAGGCUCGAAAGUGCGGGGAUCAAACAGG